UAGAGGUAGUACUGUGUGUUAGUCCCUGAUAGAGGUAGUACUGUGUGUUAGUCCCUGAUAGAGGUAGUACUGUGUGUUAGUCCCUGAUAGAGGUAGCACUGUGUGUUAGUCCCUGAUAGAGGUAGUACUGUGAGUUAGUCCCUGAUAGAGGUAGAACUGUUAGUCCCUGAUAGAGGUAGAACUGUG